rnacentral:rRNA from 1 species
UACGUAGGGUCCGAGCGUUGUCCGGAAUUACUGGGCGUAAAGAGCUCGUAGGUGGUUUGUCGCGUUGUUCGUGAAAACUCACAGCUCAACUGUGGGCGUGCGGGCGAUACGGGCAGACUUGAGUACUGCAGGGGAGACUGGAAUUCCUGGUGUAGCGGUGGAAUGCGCAGAUAUCAGGAGGAACACCGGUGGCGAAGGCGGGUCUCUGGGCCGAGUAACUGACGCU